AUUCCAUUUUCUCUACCUAAAUGUAUGUUUUGCAGAAAUUUAGAAAAAAAAAACUGGCAAUAGCAAUGCCAUGUUAUAAGCCUUUAGGGCAUUAAUGACAUUGAGGUUCCUGAAAAUGGUUACAACA